AUUGAACGCUGGCGGCAUGCCUAACACAUGCAAGUCGAACGAAGCCUUCGGGCUUAGUGGCGCACGGGUGCGUAACGCGUGGGAAUCUGCCCUUGGGUUCGGAAUAACAGUUAGAAAUGACUGCUAAUACCGGAUGAUGUCUUCGGACCAAAGAUUUAUCGCCCAAGGAUGAGCCCGCGUAGGAUUAGGUAGUUGGUGGGGUAAUGGCCCACCAAGCCGACGAUCCUUAGCUGGUCUGAGAGGAUGAUCAGACACACUGGGACUGAGACACGGCCCAGACUCCGACGGGAGGCAGCAGUGGGGAAUAUUGGACAAUGGGCGAAAGCCUGAUCCAGCAAUGCCGCGUGAGUGAUGAAGGCCUUAGGGUUGUAAAGCUCUUUUACCAGGGAUGAUAAUGACAGUACCUGGAGAAUAAGCUCCGGCUAACUCCGUGCCAGCCGCCGCAGUAA
rnacentral:rRNA from 1 species